AGUCUUGUAGUGAAUGCACGUCGAAUUGCAAGUUCGAAACUGCCCCCUAUUGGGUGCCCGGACU
rnacentral:tRNA from 1 species